rnacentral:rRNA from 1 species
UACGUAGGAGGCAAGCGUUGUCCGGAAUUACUGGGCGUAAAGCGCGUGUAGGCGGAUGCCUAAGUCUGUGGUGAAAGCGCCUGGCUUAACCGGGCGAGGUCCAUGGAAACUAGGCGUCUGGAGGCCGGUAGAGGGGGGUGGAAUUCCGGGCGUAGUGGUGAAAUGCGUAGAGAUCCGGAGGAACACCAGUGGCGAAGGCGGCCCCCUGGGCCGCGCCUGACGCUGAGACGCGAAAGCGCGGGGAGCGAACGGG